rnacentral:lncRNA from 10 species
GCGCUCUCGGGCAGCUGCAGCGGCCACCUGGAGAGCAGUGAAGCCAGUGCGCCGCCCACCUGGAAAGAUUCUCUCUAGAUCCAAAGAAAAACAAGAGGGUUCUUUUUGCCUUCUACUCCUCAAAACACACCAGCAGCUCAGCAAUUGGAGGGGAGGCUGAAGGACAAAAACAUUGCUAUCCCAUAGAGCAACGGUAUAAGAGCCAAUAGAGACUCCUGGCGCUGGAAGUCACGGAUCCGAAAGAAGGCGCCCAAUCAUUUGGUUUCUUUGGAUCGUUAUUGAGUCUUCUGUCAUCAUAGUUCACCCUCCUACUCGAAUGCCUCCCGUGGGGCCCUUACCCUUGCUCUCCUCUGCCUGGAAUGCCCGCCUCUUCUUGCAUUCAAGCCCCUGGGUUCUAUUCAGAUGCUCCAGUUACAAAUGAUAGAUCCAAAAUUGUCUUCUGGAAGAAACAUCACAAAACUUCAAAGAGUUGGAGAUCUCAAUAUGUUGCCCAGGCUGGUCUUGAACUCCUAGAAACAAGGGAUCCUCCUUCCUCGGUCUUCCAAAAUGUUGGGAUUAAAGGCAUUAGCCACCAAGCUUGGCCAAGAAUCUCUAAAUCUUUAGAGAAAAAAUCAAGUAACAGAAUAUCGUAUUGAGGCAUGAAGUUUCAAGACAUAUAUGACCCUACUGCCAUCCCAGUGUACGCGUGUGUGUGGGCAUGGAGAAUAUGCAAAUUGGCUUAGAGGUAAGAGUGUUUUGGAAUCAGCACUUGAGAAGGUAGUGAAAGCUGUUUUUGUUAUAUUUAGAAUGUGGUCUGUAUGUAUUUAAAUUUUUCUUGAAUUGAUUCUUACGCAAAAAAGCCUCCUUUGCAUGGAGGCUCUGUUUAUUGUGGUUAAUUAUAGUGCUCCAGCAAGGGGAACUUGUUUCUCUUUCUACAGAGACUGCUCUGGGACAUAAGUUAUGUCCCCUGAGGUGAAGUAUUUCACAAGUAAAUAUCUUACAUAUUUGAGAAAUCUUCCAUUACAAGGCUUAAGUUUAAUCCUUGUAGGGCCUUCAAUUUGCUUAGUUAAGUGAUGACAAGAAGACAGAGGCAGCUAAAAGGAAAUGAAGAGAGAGGGCAAGUAAUAAAAGAGAAGGCCUGAAAGAAAAGUGGCGGAGAUUGAGGGCCUUUUACUGGACCUGGAAAUUGAAGUAAGGGUUCUCUUCCACAGUCCGCUCCUAGUGUAUCUGAUGCUACUCUGUUCGCACAGAGAGUAGUUAGUCUUCAUGGAAGGUACAGUAGUCCGAGGUUCCAACGCUGGGGCUGAGUCACAUGGGAUUCAGUAACAGAGGAGACUUGCAAGCACAAUUUAAUAGCCUUACACUGGUGCUCACCUGUGCUUUACAAUCUGCUAUUUGGUGGGGUCAAGGGUGGGAAGAGGUGAAUGGUGCCAUUGAUCCAAAAACUAGUGUGCAUAGUUGGGGAACUUGAAGCUCUGAGUUUAAGUUGAAUUUGCCAUGGAGCCAGGAUAUGGUUGAGUCAAUCUUCAUAAUCGUAGCUUAAUCCAUUGCUUUUUUCUGAUUAUCAACAAUGUAUGCCGUCUCCUCCAUAAAGCUUUUUUCUAAUCUCCCAGGAGAAGGGGUUCUUGUCCUCUUCUGAACACAAAACAAUAUUACUUUUGCCUUUCUUCCAGCAUGCAUCUCUUCAUGCCCUCUAUUUUUACAUAUUUGUAUAUGCUUAAUAAACAGUGCUUUCGUGUGAGGGUCAAACCAUAUCAUACCUCUUUUGCAUCAUACACACUGCUUUACAUAUAUUAGGCCUUUAACGCAUCCGUUGACUAAAUGGAUACCUUUAACAAAACAGUUCCCAUAGAUUAAUUUGGGACUAUUCCCUUGAUUUCAUGGGACUACAAGGGAUCUACCUUAUAUUUACUGAAUCCAAACCCCAUGACUUAAAAUGAGGGAAUAAGACACUGGCAGGUAGAUCACUACUAUGGUGGGGAGUCUUAUUCCUAGGCCAGCCCAUCCCACUGUAUCAAUUGCAGUCUUUCAUAUUAGGCAAGCCUAUCCUGUUCUUAAGGAAAAUCGAGGCAACCAACAACAGGAGAGUCUACUUGAAGUAAGGCAUUUGUAAAGUGUAAGUUAGUAUAAUUUACCUGAUGCUUUUUUACAGGGUUAGACAACUAACCCCCUUAUGGUUACCUAACAUGUCUAUGGUUAACUUGUAUCAAACAAUAGAGGAAGAAUAAUAGAUCUUAUUUUUAUUUUAUUUUAUUUUAUUUUAUUUUUUCAGAUGGAGUUUCACUCUUUGCCCAGGCUAGAGUACAGUGGCACAAUCUUGGCUCACAGCAACCUCUGUGAGAGUAAUAGUUUUUUUUUUUUUUGAGACACAAGUCUCGCUUCUCGGCUCACUGCAACCUCCACCUCCCGUGUUCAAGCGAUUCUCCUGCCUCAUUCCCCCUCCCCUCUUCCCCCAACCCACCCCGAGUAGCUAUCCCCUAGAUCCUGUAAUCCUGCCAUCAUGUCUGGCUAAUUUUUGUAUUUUUAGUGGAGACGGGGUUUCACCAUGUUGGCCAGGCUGCUCUUGAACUCCUCACCUCAGGUGAUCCGCCCACCUCGGCCUUCCGUAGUGCUGGGAUUACAGGCAUGAGUCGCCAUGCUGGGCCAGAGAGUAAUAGAUCUUUAAACUGGUAUUCAAAUACCCUCAAAUCCCUGCUCCUAAGCUUCCUAACUGUAGGCCUAUUUAUCCCAUGUCUGAAGGCCAAGAUUAUGCAAAACUGAAGUGCCAAUGGGUUUACAUGGUUCACUCCAGGUGGAAUGAAUCCCUUUACCAUCAUACUUCCAUGAAAUUAGAAAAAAGUUACCUACAUAGGCAGAGAAUUCAACUGUGAGUUGACAAUUAUUUACGAUUCUCUUAACUGGCUGUUUCACAACGUUAUGGAGCUAAGAAAGGAUGAAAGCUUACCACUGCUUGGAUACCAGCUUGAUAAGCAGCUUGGAAUGUCAAAUAUAUAACAAGAAAGGAAAUAUUCUACUUUAAAGGAACAUGGGGUAAUUCUUGAGUUAUCUCACAUG